AGUUGCUGGCUGGGGUUAAACCAUGACAGCAAGAUCGUUGAGAUGAAACAACAACCAAUCAUCAAGAAAAGGUAACAGAACAAAUCUACUUCACCAUCACACUGCAAGGAAAGACUCAAGACACAAAACCUAUUCAUGGAAAGCCAGUGGUGUCAUCUCCUCAGAUGUUUCUUUAUUUAAUCAAGCUGUUGUUCUUACACCAGCAACUGAAUUCUUUGAAUUUAGCAAACUG